rnacentral:misc_RNA from 1 species
ACAAACUUGGUCAUUUAGAGGAAGUAAAAGUCGUAACAAGGUUUCCGUAGGUGAACCUGCGGAAGGAUCAUUACCGAGUUAGGGCGUGCCCUCUGGGUGCCCCGACCUCCCAACCCUAUGUCUAAGUUACCUCAGUUGCUUCGGUGGGCCGGGAUCGACCAACUGGUCGUGACCGCCGGCCUAACACGGCUGGAGAGCCGCCCACCGAUGGCCCUCACAAACUUCUUUAUACCGAAACCUGUCGUCUGAAUAAACUGUGAUUGUAUAAUCAAAAACAAAACUUUCAACAACGGAUCUCUUGGUUCUGGCAUCGAUGAAGAACGCAGC